GAACUGCGAUAAGUAAUGUGAAUUGCAGAAUUCAGUGAAUCAUCGAGUCUUUGAACGCACAUUGCGCCCCCUGGCAUUCCGGGGGCAUGCCUGUCCGAGCGUCAUUGCUGCCCUUCAAGCCCGGCUUGUGUGUUGCGUCGUCGUCCCCUCCGGGGGACGGGCCCGAAAGGCAGCGGCGGCACCGCGUCCGGUCCUCGAGCGUAUGGGGCUUUGUCACCCGCUCGAUAAGGACCGGCCGGGCGCCAGCCGGCGUCUCCAACCUUUUUUUCUCAGGUUGACCUCGGAUCAGGUAGGGAUACCCGCUGAACUUAAGC
rnacentral:misc_RNA from 1 species